rnacentral:rRNA from 1 species
CAGCCGCAGUAACACAUGCAAGUCGAGCGAGAAGGGAGCAAUCCCAGUAAAGCGGCGCACGGGUGAGUAACACGUAGGUAAUCUACCUCGAGGUGGUGGAUAACCUUCCGAAAGGAGGGCUAAUACAGCAUGGGACCACGUCUUCGAAAGAGGAUGAGGUAAAAGCGGGCCUCUCUACAGAAGCUCGCGCCACGAGAUGAGCCUGCGGCCCAUCAUGGUAGUUGGUAGGGUAACGGCCUACCAAGCCGAAGACGGGUAGCUGGUCUGAGAGGAUGAUCAGCCACACUGGAACUGAGACACGGUCCAGACUCCUACGGGAGGCAGCAGUGGGGAAUCUUGCGCAAUGGGCGAAAGCCUGACGCAGCGACGCCGCGUGAGUGAUGAAGGCCUUCGGGUUGUAAAGCUCUGUGGAGGGGGACGAAUAAGGGCUGGUGAAUAUCCAGUUUGAUGACGGUACCCCUUUAGCAAGCACCGGCUAACUCUGUGCCAGCAGCCGCCGUAAAAC